rnacentral:rRNA from 1 species
GUUGGGUAACACUAACUGGAGGACCGAACCGACUAAUGUUGAAAAAUUAGCGGAUGACUUGUGGCUGGGGGUGAAAGGCCAAUCAAACCGGGAGAUAGCUGGUUCUCCCCGAAAGCUAUUUAGGUAGCGCCUCGUGAAUUCAUCUCCGGGGGUAGAGCACUGUUUCGGCAAGGGGGUCAUCCCGACUUACCAACCCGAUGCAAACUGCGAAUACCGGAGAAUGUUAUCACGGGAGACACACGGCGGGUGCUAACGUCCGUCGUGAAGAGGGAAACAACCCAGACCGCCAGCUAAGGUCCCAAAGUCAUGGUUAAGUGGGAAACGAUGUGGGAAGGCCCAGACAGCCAGGAUGUUGGCUUAGAAGCAGCCAUCAUUUAAAGAAAGCGUAAUAGCUCACUGGUCGAGUCGGCCUGCGCGGAAGAUGUAACGGGGCUAAACCAUGCACCGAAGCUGCGGCAGCGACGCUGAUGCGUUGUUGGGUAGGGGAGCGUUCUGUAAGCCUGUGAAGGUGUGCUGUGAGGCAUGCUGGAGGUAUCAGAAGUGCGAAUGCUGACAUAAGUAACGAUAAAGCGGGUGAAAAGCCCGCUCGCCGGAAGACCAAGGGUUCCUGUCCAACGUUAAUCGGGGCAGGGUGAGUCGACCCCUAAGGCGAGGCCGAAAGGCGUAGUCGAUGGGAAACAGGUUAAUAUUCCUGUACUUGGUGUUACUGCGAAGGGGGGACGGAGAAGGCUAUGUUGGCCGGGCGACGGUUGUCCCGGUUUAAGCGUGUAGGCUGGUUUUCCAGGCAAAUCCGGAAAAUCAAGGCUGAGGCGUGAUGACGAGGCACUACGGUGCUGAAGCAACAAAUGCCCUGCUUCCAGGAAAAGCCUCUAAGCAUCAGGUAACAUCAAAUCGUACCCCAAACCGACACAGGUGGUCAGGUAGAGAAUACCAAGGCGCUUGAGAGAACUCGGGUGAAGGAACUAGGCAAAAUGGUGCCGUAACUUCGGGAGAAGGCACGCUGAUAUGUAGGUGAAGUCCCUCGCGGAUGGAGCUGAAAUCAGUCGAAGAUACCAGCUGGCUGCAACUGUUUAUUAAAAACACAGCACUGUGCAAACACGAAAGUGGACGUAUACGGUGUGACGCCUGCCCGGUGCCGGAAGGUUAAUUGAUGGGGUCAGCGCAAGCGAAGCUCUUGAUCGAAGCCCCGGUAAACGGCGGCCGUAACUAUAACGGUCCUAAGGUAGCGAAAUUCCUUGUCGGGUAAGUUCCGACCUGCACGAAUGGCGUAAUGAUGGCCAGGCUGUCUCCACCCGAGACUCAGUGAAAUUGAACUCGCUGUGAAGAUGCAGUGUACCCGCGGCAAGACGGAAAGACCCCGUGAACCUUUACUAUAGCUUGACACUGAACAUUGAGCCUUGAUGUGUAGGAUAGGUGGGAGGCUUAGAAGUGUGGACGCCAGUCUGCAUGGAGCCGACCUUGAAAUACCACCCUUUAAUGUUUGAUGUUCUAACGUUGACCCGUAAUCCGGGUUGCGGACAGUGUCUGGUGGGUAGUUUGACUGGGGCGGUCUCCUCCUAAAGAGUAACGGAGGAGCACGAAGGUUGGCUAAUCCUGGUCGGACAUCAGGAGGUUAGUGCAAUGGCAUAAGCCAGCUUGACUGCGAGCGUGACGGCGCGAGCAGGUGCGAAAGCAGGUCAUAGUGAUCCGGUGGUUCUGAAUGGAAGGGCCAUCGCUCAACGGAUAAAAGGUACUCCGGGGAUAACAGGCUGAUACCGCCCAAGAGUUCAUAUCGACGGCGGUGUUUGGCACCUCGAUGUCGGCUCAUCACAUCCUGGGGCUGAAGUAGGUCCCAAGGGUAUGGCUGUUCGCCAUUUAAAGUGGUACGCGAGCUGGGUUUAGAACGUCGUGAGACAGUUCGGUCCCUAUCUGCCGUGGGCGCUGGAGAACUGAGGGGGGCUGCUCCUAGUACGAGAGGACCGGAGUGGACGCAUCACUGGUGUUCGGGUUGUCAUGCCAAUGGCACUGCCCGGUAGCUAAAUGCGGAAGAGAUAAGUGCUGAAAGCAUCUAAGCACGAAACUUGCC